rnacentral:lncRNA from 1 species
UGGAUUUCAAAUUACAUGAAGGGAUGAGGAACAAAGGCAAGAAAAUGAGUGUCGUCCUGUCCAAUGGUGUAGGCAAGUAGAGUAUGCCAAAUUGUACUAUAAAAACUACUCAAUUGCCUUAUGAAAAAGAGUAAUACUAGAGAGAGUAAAUUUUUGACCACACGAUUAACGGAUCCACGGAAUCUUCACAAAGAGGAUCUGAACUCCUACUUCUAUAUUUUAUUUUGUCAUCUUUUUUCACAUACGAUAUUUUAUUCUAUAAAGAGUUGUGGGACCUAAUUUCCCUACUCAUAUGUUGUAGGGUAGGCAAACUUGCAUCAUAGGAGCUAGUUUUUGUCUGCAUAACUCAUCAAAAUGAAUGUUUUUUUUAGUACAUUGAUAUUUUUACACUAAGGGGAGGAGAAGUUCAGUUAAGCUACAUAAUGGACAGUUGAAUUUGGUAUUGAAUUCGCCAUCCUCGAAAUUCGAACAUAAGAACUUUACAAAGAUGGAGAUGCUCUAAGCCUGUUUUGUAGACCAGCUUAGAUUGAAUAUGACCAUUAAAUUGAACGCUAGGUCAAGUUGUUGUACGAUGAGGUAGAAGUAUAACAUGAAUAGGAUUCCGGGUCUUGGACUUUGAGUCCAGAAUACCGCUGGCUUCAUAAAACCAGUCCCAGGACGCGAGCGCUAACGCACAACCCUCCACCUUCUUUUUCUUCUAUGAUUUCUCCGAUCUGGUUUCUUCUUUGUACAUUCACACGACCACAUGCGGUUUCCAUGACAACUUAUUCAAAAUGCCGCUUGUUUCCCCGAAAUCGAUAUCAAUUCCGGUGAUUUCAUUCCCACCUUGUAAAUUUGUAGUUAUUUGUUUGAAAUUUAUUUGCAUUAUUUCCGAUGUUUUUAAAAUGUAAUUAUUUGUCUAAUCCAACAUUAAUAUUCUUGUCCGAAACAAAGAAACCGAGGCUUUGAAUAAGGUAAAACUUGUUAGGCGAGUCAAUAAUAAAUCUGUGGAUGACGUAUCUGUGUAGUUACAUCACCUAUCAAAAACAUUAUCCCCAAUUUUGAAUUGCUUUUCAUUUUAUUUUAUUUUUAUAUUGGGAUGGAAUGUAAUUAUUAUUACUAAAAACAACCGAAGAGGCUUCAAAUUAUUCAUAAAUUUUAGGAUAAAUUAAGUUCUCAUUCCUUGUUUCUCCUUGUUAUUAAUUAAAAUCUUAUUCCUUUUUCUUUUUUGAUCAAGGUCGCUUGAUUUUUUUUCAUGCCAUUAUUUGAAUAUUAAAUUAUUUACAGGUCUUUAUAUGUCAAUUUAGAAAAAAGUAUUAAUCAUUUUCAAAUAUAAUCUUUUUAGUAUUUUUUUCAUAUAUCUUUAUUUAUAAUUUGUAUCUUUUUUUUUUAAUUUAUACCAAUAUUGACACACCUUGACCGAAGUCGAGGCAUGUUGGCCAUCACAUGAGGGUGAUGUAGCCAAGUGCACAACAGAAGUGAUAAUAAUAAGAAAAUGUGAAUAAAUAAAAACCAAAACUAAACUUAUUUAACUAGAGAUAAUAUAUAAGUGUGCGAAAGUGAUCAAGUAUAUGAUACACACAUAUCAUAGCAUAGGUAACACGAAAG